GACGAACGCUGGCGGCGUGCUUAACACAUGCAAGUCGAACGGAAAGGCCCUGCUUUUGUGGGGUGCUCGAGUGGCGAACGGGUGAGUAAACCGUGAGUAACCUGCCCUUGACUUUGGGAUAACUUCAGGAAACUGGGGCUAAUACCGGAUAGGAGCUCCUGCUGCAUGGUGGGGGUUGGAAAGUUUCGGCGGUUGGGGAUGGACUCGCGGCUUAUCAGCUUGUUGGUGGGGUAGUGGCUUACCAAGGCUUUGACGGGUAGCCGGCCUGAGAGGGUGACCGGCCACAUUGGGACUGAGAUACGGCCCAGACUCCUACGGGAGGCAGCAGUGGGGAAUAUUGCACAAUGGGCGGAAGCCUGAUGCAGCAACGCCGCGUGCGGGAUGACGGCCUUCGGGUUGUAAACCGCUUUCGCCUGUGACGAAGCGUGAGUGACGGUAAUGGGUAAAGAAGCACCGGCUAACUACGUG
rnacentral:rRNA from 1 species